UGGAUCUUCCUGUUAUGUCAAGUUGAGGGUUGAAGAAGGAAGAAAGCCACAGGGACGAACUUCCGUUCUCCCAUAGUCCAUGAAGUGUUCAGACUGCUACUUCUUGCCGGAUAUCAUUCACAAGGGAGGUCACAAUCAAGGUUCUCUUGGACAUCCUAUGUUGCAUUUCUUUCGGAUUAGCAGUCAAGGAAUUUAAGAAGGCACCAUGGAAACGAGAAGCAGAUGGGAUGCCUCUCAAAAGAACACUGCAGUGUUUUCAAUCUGCAGCGCAAGAGUCCUUGAUGCUAUUCUCUAGCGCUCUGGGAAGCAGACCUUGGCCAAGCUGUAGCUCUUGGCUCUGCGUUGAACUAACGGGAUCUGCCAAUCACAGAGCAGCUGGAGGCUUUCUCAUGUCAGCUCCGGUUUAUGCACAACAGCUGCAGUGUAUACGAGAGCCAUCUCUACAACCAAGUACACACCACACUAGAAACAGUAAACUCCCACAGUUACUGCUUCUUCAAGAUAGUCUAAACUCAUGGCCAAAUCAUGUGACACAGCUGUUUUGCGACUAUGCUACUUAAGAAUGAGAACUGUAUUAGAAUGUG